UACAGAGGUCUCAAGCGUUGUUCGGAUUCAUUGGGCGUAAAGGGUGCGUAGGCGGCGCGGUAAGUCGGGUGUGAAAUCUCGGGGCUUAACUCCGAAACUGCAUUCGAUACUGCCGUGCUUGAGGACUGGAGAGGAGACUUGGAAUUUACGGUGUAGCGGUGAAAUGCGUAGAUAUCGUAAGGAAGACCAGUGGCGAAGGCGGGUCUCUGGACAGUUCCUGACGCUGAGGCACGAAGGCCAGGGGAGCAAACGGG
rnacentral:rRNA from 1 species